rnacentral:rRNA from 1 species
AAUACAUCGGAACGUGCCCGAUCGUGGGGGAUAACGGAGCGAAAGCUUUGCUAAUACCGCAUACGAUCUACGGAUGAAAGCAGGGGACCCUCGGGCCUUGCGCGAACGGAGCGGCCGAUGGCAGAUUAGGUAGUUGGUGGGAUAAAAGCUUACCAAACCGACGAUCUGUAGCUGGUCUGAGAGGACGACCAGCCACACUGGGACUGAGACACGGCCCAGACUCCUACGGGAGGCAGCAGUGGGGAAUUUUGGACAAUGGGCGAAAGCCUGAUCCAGCAAUGCCGCGUGCAGGAUGAAGGCCUUCGGGUUGUAAACUGCUUUUGUACGGAACGAAAAGUCUCGGGAUAAUACCCUGGGACCAUGACGGUACCGUAAGAAUAAGCACCGGCUAACUACGUGCCAGCAGCCGCGGUAAUACGUAGGGUGCAAGCGUUAAUCGGAAUUACUGGGCGUAAAGCGUGCGCAGGCGGUUAUAUAAGACAGAUGUGAAAUCCCCGGGCUCAACCUGGGAACUGCAUUUGUGACUGUAUAGCUAGAGUACGGUAGAGGGGGAUGGAAUUCCGCGUGUAGCAGUGAAAUGCGUAGAUAUGCGGAGG